GCUGUCCAAGUCCACGAUCCGCCAUCCGCCGGCGGGAGACUGCUCAAGCCGGGCGUGUCGGCGCGAUACGGAUACGUCGGGGAUGCAGAUGUCGCACGACACGUGGCGACCGACCUGCAGAUUGGGUUUCUCGAGACGGACGGU
rnacentral:rRNA from 1 species